rnacentral:rRNA from 1 species
UACGGGGGGGGCAAGCGUUGUUCGGAAUUACUGGGCGUAAAGGGCUCGUAGGUGGCCAACUAAGUCAGACGUGAAAUCCCUCAGCUUAACUGGGGAACUGCGUCUGAUACUGGAUGGCUUGAGUUUGGGAGAGGGAUGCGGAAUUCCAGGUGUAGCGGUGAAAUGCGUAGAUAUCUGGAGGAACACCGGUGGCGAAGGCGGCAUCCUGGACCAACACUGACACUGAAGAGCGAAAGCCAGGGGAGCAAACGGG